rnacentral:rRNA from 1 species
UACAGAGGCCUCGAGCGUUAGGCGGAAUCACUGGGCUUAAAGCGUGUGUAGGCGGACUUCUAAGUACCUUGUGAAAUCCCACAGCUUAACUGUGGAACUGCUUGGUAUACUGGUUGUCUUGAGGUACCUAGGGGCGAGCGGAACAAGUGGUGGAGCGGUGAAAUGCGUAGAUAUCACUUGGAACGCCAACGGUGAAACAGCUCGCUGGGGUAUCCUGACGCUGAGACGACGAAAGCCAGGGAGCAAAGCGGG